GUCGGGUAUCUGUAGUCGGGAUUGUUCUCCGUAAUGAUGUUAGAUGUUUAUUUGCUUACGAAAAUCAACACGUACUCGUGAUUUAUUUUUAUUCCGACAUUUUUUUUCGUCGCGAAAACCUUAACCGACCUCGUGAAGAUCAUAGCCACCAACAAUCUCUACACGUUGUAAAAUUGUAUAUCCUAAAAAAAGUUGUGAAAACGUUCGUUCGCGUGUGACAUCAUCACUACAACAAUCAUGACGAUUUGUAAAUCAUGUGUCGUGUUGGGACUAGUAUUUUUAUCUUACAUGUUGGGUUGUGUUUUUGGAGUCCUAACCAACGAACAAGCAGUGACUUAUUUAUCUCAAUAUGGUUACUUGAAACCAUCUAUGAAAAAUUCGAAUGUAGCUAAUAUUAUAUCCGAGGAAGCAAUGGUCAAAGCAAUUAGGGAGUUUCAGUCAUUCUUUGGUUUAAACUUGACAGGUCGCCUGGAUAAUGAUACGUUGCACUUAAUGAGCAAGCCUAGAUGCGGCAAUCAAGAUGUAGGCGAAUUUGUUCCGACUAGGACCAGAAGAUAUAUCUCACAUAAUAGAAAGUGGGAGAUAAAUGACUUGACUUAUAAUAUAAUUAAGUAUCCUAAACAGCUAGAUAAGUCAGUAAUAGAUUCAGAAAUCCGAAGAGCAUUCGAUUUAUGGUCUGAAGUCACUCCAUUGAGGUUCACCCACAAAAAAUCUGGAAAAGUGAAUAUUAAUAUCAGAUUUGAAGAAGGUAAACAUGGUGAUCGUAAUUCAUCUUAUACUGUAUUGUCACAUACUUUUAAUUCAAAAUACGUUAGUGAUAUUUAUUUUGAUGGUUCGAUAAAGUGGUCAGUCAAUUCAAAGGAAGGUACAAAUUUGUUCCAAAGAGUAGUUCAUGAAUUGGGCCACUCGUUAGGAUUAUUUCACUCCAAAAAAGAAUCUUCUGUAAUGUUUGUAAUUGAUCGAGGUUAUAAUCCAAAUUUCACCUUAAGUAGUGAUGACGUGGAAGCCAUUCAGGCGAUUUAUGGUUCAAAUAAUAAGACCGAAAAAGUAAAUUUAGAGAAGGACCACGACGUAUUGAAAAAUAAUUAACCUUUGAUAUUUUGUUGAAAAGAAAUGUUUUAACUUCAUCGUCCUGGUCUCGACUAUGUUAAACGAAGAUUUACUUGCAUACUAAUGCAUGCUUUGCUGAAUUGAUCUAUAAGAGACAACAUUACUUAUAAGUAUUUUGGUGACUUUAAAUGUAUACUAGUAUUAAAAAUCACUUAAUGUUUUAUUAU
rnacentral:misc_RNA from 1 species